UUUACCCGCUGAACUUAAGCAUAUCAAUAAGCGGAGGAAAAGAAACUAACAAGGAUUCCCCUAGUAACUGCGAGUGAAGCGGGAAAAGCUCAAAUUUAAAAUCUGGCAGUUUCACUGUCCGAGUUGUAAUCUGGAGAAGCAUUUUCUGUGUCAGACCGUGUACAAGUCUCUUGGAAUAGAGCGUCAUAGAGGGUGAGAAUCCCGUCCAUGACACGGACCGCUGAUACUUUGUGAUAUGCUCUCGAAGAGUCGAGUUGUUUGGGAAUGCAGCUCAAAAUGGGUGGUAAAUUCCAUCUAAAGCUAAAUAUUGGCGAGAGACCGAUAGCGAACAAGUACCGUGAGGGAAAGAUGAAAAGCACUUUGGAAAGAGAGUUAAACAGUACGUGAAAUUGUUGAAAGGGAAACGCUUGAAGUCAGUCGCGUUGCUUGGGACUCAGCCUUGCUUUGCAUGGUGUACUUCCCAUUCAACGGGUCAACGUCAAUUUUGGUUGGUGGAUAAAGACUUAGGGAAUGUGGCAUCUUCGGGUGUGUUAUAGCCCUUUGUUGCAUACACUGACUGGGAUUGAGGACUGCAGCACGCCACUAUGGCCGGGGGGUUUACCUCACGUAACGUGCUUAGGA
rnacentral:rRNA from 1 species